GUAGGUGAACCUGCGGAAGGAUCAUUAACACGUAUCCACGUAUCUACCCUGUGCAUCUGUAAAACGUGCGCGAUUCUGCAGCUUGGUACCGCGAGCGGCGAGAUGUGGUGUUGCCGCGAGCUAGGGUCUCUUUCGGGAGAACCCAAGGGCGAGCUGUGGCUGCGCGUAACCACCCGGGUUACUUUUUCUCCUCGGAGAAGAACGGCUCGGUGAUCGGUUCAUUUUUAACCCCAUGUAACUAUUCUUAACUGAUCUUUUUAAUGUUUCGUCUUCGGAUGGAAUAUUAAAAUUUACGUAACCAAAAACAAUUCUUAGCAACGGAUAUCUUGGUUCUC
rnacentral:misc_RNA from 1 species